GGGACCUUCCAUAUGCCAUGAGUGCAGCCCUAAAAACGGAGAGAUUUCUUUGGCCAUUCAUGGUCUUUUCAUUUCCAUGCAAAUUUAAUUUUUUUUGUUCUAGUUUUGUGAAAAAAAAAAGUCAUUUGUAAUUUGAUAGGGAUUGGGGAUUCCACUGAAUCCGUAGAUUGCUUUGGGUAGUACAGUCAUUUUAACAACAUUGAUUCUUCCAGUCCAAGAGCAUGUUCUAUCUUUCCAUCUGUUUGUGUCAUCACUUGAUUUCUUUCAUCAGCAUCUUAUAGUUUUCAGAGUACAAGUGUUUUGCCUCUUCAGGUAGAUUUAUUCCUAGGUGUUGAAUUCUUUUUGAUAGCACUGUAAAUGGAACUGUUUUCCUAAUUUCUCUUUCUGACUUUUCAUUGUUACUUUAUAGGAAUGCAACAGAUAUCUGUGUAUUAAUUUUGACUCCUGCAACUUUACCAAAUUCAUUGAUGAACUCUAAUAGUUUUCUGGUAGCACCUUAAGGAUUUUCUAUGUAUAGUAUCAUACCAUAUGCAAACAGUGACAGUUUUACUUCUGUCCCUUGUUGGUUGCAUUGUUUGCACUAUCUUCUCCCAUCCUAUGGGUUAUCUUUUUGGUUUUUUUUUAUGGUUUCCAUUGCUGUGCAAAAGCCUGUACUUUUGAUUAGGUCCCACUGGUUUAUUAUUUUUAUUUCUAUUGUCUUGGGAGACUGAACUAAGAAAGUGUUUGUAUGGUUUAUGUCACAUGGUUUGUAUAGAAUGUUUCCCUAUUUCUUUUCUAGGAGUUUUAUGGUGUCAUGUCUUAUGUUUGAGUUUAUUGCUGUGCAUGGUGUGAGGGUGUAUUCUAGUUUCACUGAUUUACAUGCAGCUGUCUGGUUUUGCCAGCAUCACUUCCUAAAGAGACUGUCCUUUUCCGAUUUUAUAUUCUUGCCUUCCUUGUCAAAGAUCAAUUGAUCCUAUGUGUCUGGGUUUAUUUCUGGGCUCUCUAUUCUGUUCCAUUCAUCCCUAUGUCUGUUUUUGUGCCAGUACCACACUCUCUUGAUUACCAUAGCAUUGUAAUAUUGUGUGAAGUCUGGGAAAGUUAUGCCUCCUGCUUUGUUGCUGCUGUUUUUUUCCUGCGGAUUGCUUUGGCAAUUCUGGGCCUUUAUGGUUCCAUAUAAAUUUUUGGAUUAUUCGUUCUGGCUUGCUAAAAAAAAUGUCAUGGGUAAUUUAAUAGUGACCACAUUAAAUCUAUAGAUUGCUUUGGGUAGAAUGGCAAUUUUUAAAUAAUAUUAAUUCUUCCAAUCCAGGAACAUGGGAUAUUUCCAUUUCUUUGAAUCCUCUUUAAUUUCCUUGAUUGAUGUUUUGCAGUUUUCAGUGUAUAAGUCUUUCCCUUCCUUGGUUUAUUCCUAGGUAUUUUAUUUUGGGGGGUGUGUUUUUAAAAGGUUUUGUUUCUCUAUAUUUCUUUUCUAAUAUUUCAUUGUUAGCAUACAGAAACACAACUGAUUUCUGAAUGUUAAUCUUGUAUCCUGCUACUUUGAAUUCUUUGAUCUGAUUAAGUAGUUAUUGCAUGGAGUCCUUAGGGUUUUCUAUAUAUAGUAUCAUGCCAUCUGCAUAUAGUGACAAUUUUACCUCUUCUCUUCCAAUAUGUAUACCUUUCAUUUCUUUUGUUUGCAUGACUGCUGUGGCUAGGGCUCCCAAUACUAUGUUGAAUAAAAGUGGUGAGAAUCAGCAUCCUUGUCUUAUUCCAGACUUCAGCAGGAAGUCUGAGCUUCUCUCUGUUGAAUAUUAUAUUGGCUGUGGGUUUGUCAUCAAUGACGUUAAUUCUGUCGAGGUAUUGUCUCUCUAUACCCACCCUGGCAAGAGGUUACCAUGAAUGAAUGCUGGAUUUUAUCUAAUGCUUUUUUUGCAUCUACUGAGAUGAUCAUGUGGUUUGGGCUUUUCCUUCAUUAUCGUGGUAUAUGACAAGAGACUGAUUUGCAUAUGUUCAACCAUCCUUGUAAACUUGGGAUAAAUUCCACUUGGUUGUAGUGGAUAUUUUUUAUGUGUCAUUGGAUUCAGUUUGCUAAAACUCUGUUCAGGACUUUUCAUCUGCAUUCAUCAAAUAUACUGGCCUGUAAUUUUCUUUUUUAGUAGUAUCUUUGUCUGGUUUUGGUAUUAGGUGAUGGUGGCUUCAUAGAAUGUCUUUAGGAAUGUUCCUUUUUAUUCAGUCUUUUGGAAGAGUUUACAAAAGAUGGGUGUAAGUUUUUCUUUGUAUGUUUGGUAGGAUUCUCCUGUGAAGCCAUUUGGUCCUAGACUUUUGUUUGUAGGGAGUGCUUUUAUUACAUAUUCAAUUUCAUUUCUAGUGACUGGUCUAUUCAAAUUAUCUCUUUCUUCUUUACUCAGUUUUGGCGGGCUGUAUUUUUCUAGAAAGUUUUCCAUUUCUUCUAGGUUGUCAAAUUUGUUGGCAUAUAAUUGUAUUUCUGCAGUAUCUGUUGGGAGUCCCACCUUUUCCAUUUCUUAUUGUUUAAUUGCGUUCUCUCUUCUUCUUGAGUCUGGCCAGAGGUUUGUCAGUUUUCUUUUAUAUUUUCAAAGAACCAGCUCUUGGUGUGUUUUUGUUUGUUUGUUUGUUUUUUUAAAUGUUUUAAUCUCUUUUAUUUUUUUUUUAGGGCUGCAGAAAAAUCUGCCAAUAACCUUAUUGGGGUUCCCUUGUAUGUUGUUUCUUUUCCCUAGCUGCUUUCAAUAUUUUCUCUUUGUCUUUAAUUUUGGUCAGUUUGACUAAUAUGUGUCUUGGGGUAGUCCUCCUUGGGUGUAUUUUAUAUGGUACUUGUUGCACUUCCUGGAUUUGAGUGAGUGGUUCCUUUCCCAUGUUAGGGAAGUUUUCGGCCAUUAUCUCUUGAAAUAUUUUUUCUGUCCCCUUCUCUCUCUCUUCUCCUUCUGGCACCCCAUAAUACGGAUGAUGUGGGUGCAUUUAACGUUGUCCCAGACUUGUCUGAGACUGUCUUCAUUUGUUUUCAAUCUUUUUCCUCUUCUGUUCCACAUCCGUGAUUUCCACUAACCUGUCCUCCACCUUGCUUAUUCGUUCUUCUACCUCCCGUAUUGUGCAAUUGGCUGCUUCUAAUGAAUUAUUUCUGUUAUUGUAUUUUGCAUCUCCUCUUGCUUAAGUUUUAUAUCUUGCAUCUCUUUGCUCAGUGUUUCCUGUAAUUUAUCCAUCUUUGCCUCCAGUUUAUUUUCAAUGUCUUGCGUCAUCUUCAGCAUCAACAGUCUAAAGUCUUUUUCCUGGAGAAUGAGAAUCUCCUGAUCACUUGGCUGUUUUUCUGGGGAUUUUUCUUUCUCCCUUAUCUGAGUUAUAGUUCUCUGUCUUUUCAUUUUUAUGGGUUUUUGCUGUGGUGACUUUUACAGAUAAUAGAGUUGUAGCCUCUCUUACUUCUGAUGUCUGCCCCCUGUGGCUGAAGUCAGUAUGGGGGGCUUGCUGUAGGCUUCCUGAUGGGAGGGACUGAUGCCUGCCCACUGGUGGGUGGAGCCUAUUCUAAUCCCUCUGGUGGGUGGGGCUUUGUCUGGUGAGAUUAGAGGUGGCUGUGUGCCUGGGGGCUGGGGUCUUUAAGCAGCUUGUUUACUGAUGGAGGGAGCUGUGAUUCCACCUGGAUUGUUGUUUGGCUUGGGGCUUUUCAGCGCUUAUGGGUGGGGCCAGAUUUUUCCAAAAUGGCCACCUCCAGAGAAACACAUGCUGAUGAAGAUUCCCAAGAACCUUGUUUCCAAUGUCCUUCCCCCACAACAAGCCACAUUCACCUCUGCCUUCCCAGGAGGUCCUCCAAGAACCACAGCCAGGCCCAACCCAGAUUCCCACAGAGACCCUGCUUUGCCCUGGGACCCAGUGCAUGUGAAAGUUUGUGCGCACCUUCCAAGAAUGGGGUCACCACCUACCCCAGUCCCGUGGAGAUCCUGCACACAAACCCCACUGGCCUUCAAUGCCAGAUGCUCCAGGGGCUCUUUCUCCCAGUGCCAGAUCCCCCAGUGUGGGGGUUUGAUGUUGGGCUCAAAACUCUCACUCCUGUAGGUGAGUCUCUGUGCUACGGUUACUUUCCAGUCUGUGGGGCUUCCCACCCAGGAGCUAUGGGGUUGCUUAGAUCAUGUAAUCGCCCCUCCUACCUCUGGAUGUGGCCUUCUCUUUUUGAAAGUUUCAGGUCUGUGGGGCUUCCCACCCAGGAGCUAUGGGGUUGCUUAGAUCAUGUAAUCGCCCCUCCUACCUCUGGAUGUGGCCUUCUCUUUUUGAAAGUUUCAGGUCCGUUUGGUUGAAGAUUGCUCGGCAUUUGGUUGUAAAUUUUGUUGUUUUUAGUAGAGACAUUGAGCUCCAUUCCUUCUAUUCUGCAAUCUUAAUCCCAUCUCUGGCCUUUGUUUUAAAGUCUAUUUUGUCUGGUAUGAGUAUUGCAAAUCCCACUUUCCUGUCAAUUUCAUUCAUGUGAAAUAUUUUUUUUUCUAUCCCCUCGCUUUCAAUUUAUAUGUGUCUUUGCCCUAAGGUUAGUCUUUCGUAGGCAGCAUAUUGUAAGCUCUUGUUUUUUUAAUCCAGUCUGCCACUCUGUCUUUUCACUGGAGCAUUACGUCCACUAACAUUUAAGGUAAUUAUUGAUAAACAUGUAUUUACUGACAUUUUAAACAUGUAUUUACUGACAUUUAUUUACUGAUAUUAGUUGGGUUUGUUUUCCAGUUGAUUCUGUCUCUCCUUUGUUCUUUGUUCUUUUUUUGGUUGGAUAAUUUCAUUUUAUGCUUGUGUCCUCUUCUUUUUAGUUUUUGUGAUUGUAUUGUUUGUUUUUGAUUUGCGUUUUUUUUUCAUGUUUACCCCUUCCUGCUAUCUGCUUUCUUUAGCCUACGAGUCAUAUAGGCACAAACACAUUCUAAACUAAAAGAGAGUCUAGAUUUUCUUGCUUUCCUUUACCACAUUUUAUGAUUUGGAUGCCUUCAUGUUUAUCCUUUUGCUGUGUUUAUCAUUGCUUUUACAAAUAGGGUUUUUUUUUUUCCCUUUAGAUCUGUAUACUGGCUUAUUUAAGUGAUUACUUUGCAGCUGUUACUUCCUCCAUCCUAUAUCUUCUUUCCUACUUAGAGAAGAACUUUCAGUAUUUCUUCUAGAAUGGUUUUAGUAUUGCUGUAUUCUUUUAGUUUUUGUUUGUUGGAGAAAUUCUUUAUUUAUCCUUCUACUUUAAGUGAUAACCUUGCUGGGUAGUCUAGGCUGCCAGUUUUUGCCUUUUAGAACUUUGAAUACAUCCUUCCACUCUCUUAUGGCCCGUAGUGUUUCUGUAGAGAAAUUAGCUGAUAGCCUUAUGUAGGUUCCUUUAUAACUAACUCUUUGUUUUCCUCUUGCUGCCUUUAUUUUUAUUUAUUUUUUUCUUUUUAGGGCUGAACCUGCAGCAUAUGGAAGUUCGUGGGCUAGGAGUGGAAUUGGUGCUGCAGCUGCAGGCCUACACCAUCACAACACCAAAUCCGAGCCACAUCUGCAACCUACAGCACAGCUCAUAGCAAUGCCAGAUCCUUAACCCACUGAGCAAGGCCAGGAAUCAAACCUGCACCCUCAUAGAUAUUAGUUGGGUUUGUUACUGCUGAGCCACAAUAGGAACUCCUCUUGCUGAUUUUAGAAUCCUCUCAUCUUUAACUUUUGCCAUUUUUAUUACAAUAUGCCUCGGUGUAGACCUGUUUGGGUUCAACUUGUUUGGGGCCCUCUGUACUUCCUGUAUCUUGACAUCUGUUUCCUUUAGGUUUGAAAAGUUUUUAACUAUAAUUUCUUCAAAUAUAUUUUCAAUCUCCCUUUCUUUUUCUUCUCCUUCUUCAAUCCCUAUUAUGUGUAGAUUGGCCUGCUUUACAUUAUCACAUAGAUCUCAGACUGCUUUCAUGUUUUUUUCAUUUGGUUUUCUGUCUGCUGUCCUGAUUGGGUGAUUUCCAUUAUUCUAUCUUCCAAGUCAGUUCAUUCCUCUCUUCAAUGCCUUUAACUCAGCUUGUGUCUCUGUAAAUGAAUUUUCCAAUUUUUCUUGGCUCCUCUUUGUAGUUUCUAGUUCCUUUCUAAAAUAAUCUGAAUUACUGUUCAUAAAGGCUUUUAAUUCCUUCAGUUUUUCACUGCUUCCUUUUUGAACUUGGUGUCUGGUAGACUACAGAGAUCUGUUUCAUUGUCUGCUCCUUCAGAGGAAUUAUCCUGUUCUUUUAACUGGGAAUGGUUCCUAAGAGUCUUCAUUUUACUUCUAUUUUUCUUAUUCUGUGAGUUUAGGGAAAACGGCUAUCUACUGGAGGGCUAUUUAUAUGGGACAGCACCCAAGUAGCUUGUGAGGGUUUUUUUUGGGGGGGUGUGUGAAGGCUGAUUUUAGUUUGUAUGCUUGCUCUCUCUUCCCUCAGUGUGUUCAGGCUGUUAUCCCCUUAAUAGGGGGUGUGCUGGUGUAUGACCUGUAUGUGCUUCCAAGAAGAUGGAGGUGAUGGGCAGGGCCUGUAGCCAGUGCCUGGAUGAUGGGCCUUGACAGUGGUGAGGACACACAGGGAUGUGGAAGCACAGGUUGCUCCUGGUUGCAGGGCCCUGGGCAGUGGCAGUGACUCUUAGGGAGGUGGAGGUGGCACCCAGAGCCUUUGGUAGAGGCAACAUCAGGGCAUAUGCAUUCUCAGAGAAGUGAAGGCAAAGGGUGUUGCUUGGUUGCAGUGCCCUUCUUGUCAGUGACUCCUGAGGUGACUGAGGCUGCAGGUGGUGCCUACUGCCAGGACUCCUCGUGGUGGUUGGCUGUGCCCACCUCUGGAGUCCAAGACAACUGCAGUGACUGCAGUGGUUUAUAUCCACCGCCUGAGAACCCAUGCACCCACAUAGAGAAAAAUGUCCCUAUGGUAUCCCGCCCAUCCUCCUCUUACCCUCCCCAACAAUGUUUCCUUAAUUCUCCUGUGGGCCCAGGCCUUCUCCUGUACUUCCUCAGCUAUGGCACUCCACUCCCCAGCUGUGGCAAGCAGCUCCCUAGCUCCUCAGGUUGUCUUUACAUAGCCAACCCUAGUCCUCUCCCCAAAACUGACUUCUGAGGCCUGAGUCUUAGCACCCAGACCCCUCCUGAGCAUCUCGGGCUGUGGUGUCCCAGGCAGUGGCACUGAUGGUCUGUGCAGUUCUCUCUGCUUUGCCCUCCUCAGUCUGGCUGCUGCACUUUUCUCCAAGGCUUUGAGGUUUCCCCUCUGUUCUGAUUAGUAAGGUGGCCUCCAAGGGCACAAAUUCCUUUCCUCUUUCACAGCUUCCUCUCAGGAGUGCUUGUCCUGUACUAAUUCCUUUUCUCUCUCUUUUUUCCCUUUUGUUCUACCCAUUUAUGUAGAGAGUUUCUUGCCCUUUUUGGAGGUCUAAGGUCUUCUGCCAGUGUUCAGUCUUGGAAGUUUGUACCUUUUUAAGAAUCUGUACCUUUCUUCUAAGUUGUCCAUUUUAUUUGUAUAUAGUUGCCUGUGGUUGUCUCUUAUGAUCCUUUGUAUUUCUAUGGUGUCAGUUGUACUUUUUCAUUUCUGAUUUUAUUGAUUUGAGCCCUUUAUUUUUCUUAAUGAGUCUGGCAAAAGUUUAUCAAUUUUGUCGAUUUUUCCAAAAGAACCAACUUUUGGUUUCAAUGAUCUUCUCUAUUGUUUCUUCUUCUCUAUUUCAUUUAUUUCUGCUCUGAUCUUGAUGAUUUCCUUCCUUCUAUUCACUUUGGGUUUUGUUCUUUCUCUAGUUGCGUUAGGCGUAAGGUCAGGUUGGUUGUUUACUUGAGAUUUUCCUUGUUUCCUAAGACUAUAUUGCUAUAAACUUCCCUCUUUGAACUGCUUUUGCUGUGUCUCAUAGAUUUAUACCUCCUGUGUGUCUAAUUCAGACAAGCCACAUUUCAAGGUUUGAUAUCCAUGUGAAACUUGUCGCCUCCAUGCAGACAGCAAAGGUUUAGUCCAUGAUUCAGUCAGUCAGUACCCUGGGUUAUCUCCUCAUUAAAGCUAUAAUUAAUGACUUAUUAACUCCUGUUGCCCAGGAGUCUGUCCAUAUUCCAGCCACAAUUUUCUGCUUCGAUAAUACUGUUUCUGAUACUUGGGAUCCUGCAUCCCUGACCAUCAUAGACAAUGUCCCUCCUCUACAUGAGUUUACAUACUAGCAUCUGCCCUGGGCAAUAAGUUUGUAAACAAAGAAGAAUAUACAGUAGUUGCUGCCAGUAAGAAGCAAUAUGAAGAAGACAAAACAAGAUAUUUAAUAAGCCUUUUCUUUAGGCUGUCUGAACUCUUGGCAAGGAGUGGCCCUUGGUGUUGACAGACUCUGCACUCUGUUCUGAGGAAGACAUGUGUACUAGGCCCGGAGUAUAGUACAGUAUAGUAUAGGGAUGGGGCUGAGGAUCCUCCUGGAUCCUGAGAGUUUCCACACACUUGUAUUCUCAGAACACAGUCUCUUACUGGCUCAGAUAUCAGUUGUGGGGAUGGUUUCCUACCAAUGAACAGAAUCAUCUUAUAGGAAAGGGCACAGAUCUGAGACUCAGUAGACAUGAUUGCACAUAAUAAUCUCCUGCUUAUUAGCUCUGAACAAGCCCUUUAGCCUAUGUGGGGGCCUCAAUUUCCUCUAUGCUCCCUAGGCUUUAUUUCAUGAUUUAAUGCUUAUACCAGUGGAGCUUUAUGGCUUGUAGAUCACAUGAAAGACCAAUGACAGUGGACACUGAGGAUCUCAGAGGAUAGAAGAGAGUAAGUCCAGUGGGCAGGGCUUCUUAUAGAAGAACAGAGAGCACAAGGUGGGCAUUUGACCAGCAAAAAAAAAAAA
rnacentral:lncRNA from 1 species